GCCUGGAUAGCUCAGUUGGUUAGAGCAUGGUGUUGAUAACGCCAAGGUUGCAGGUUUGAUCCCAUAUGGGACA